rnacentral:pre_miRNA from 1 species
CGUGCACUGGUGGGGUCCCUUGGCCUGGCCUGCGGGGAUCGGGCCAAAACCGGCUUUCCGACAUCCAUCAAGGGGUUCCGGAUUUCGAGAGGGUGCAGGCCAGGCUGAGGGACCCCACCAGUGCACG